rnacentral:rRNA from 1 species
GAUGAACGCUGGCGGCGUGCCUAAUACAUGCAAGUCGAGCGAACGGACGAGAAGCUUGCUUCUCUGAUGUUAGCGGCGGACGGGUGAGUAACACGUGGAUAACCUACCUAUAAGACUGGGAUAACUUCGGGAAACCGGAUCUAAUACCGGAUAAUAUUUUGAACCGCAUGGUUCAAAAGUUAUAGACGGUCUUGCUGUCACUUAUAGAUGGUUCCGCGCUGCAUUAGCUAGUUGGUAAGGUAACGGCUUACCAAGGCAACGAUGCAUAGCCGACCUGAGAGGGUGAUCGGCCACACUGGAACUGAGAAACGGUCCAGACUCCUACGGGAGGCAGCAGUAGGGAAUCUUCCGCAAUGGGCGAAAGCCUGACGGAGCAACGCCGCGUGAGUGAUGAAGGUCUUCGGAUCGUAAAACACUGUUAUUAGGGAAGAACAUAUGUGUAAGUAACUGUGCACAUCUUGACGGUACCUAAUCAGAAAGCCACGGCUAACUACGUG